UGGGGAAUCUUGGACAAUGGGGGCAACCCUGAUCCAGCCAUGCCGCGUGAGUGAUGAAGGCCUUUAGGGUCGUAAAGCUCUUUCGCCUGUGAAGAUAAUGACGGUAGCAGGUAAAGAAACCCCGGCUAACUCCGUGCCAGCAGCCGCGGUAAUACGGAGGGGGUUAGCGUUGUUCGGAAUUACUGGGCGUAAAGCGCACGUAGGCGGACCAGAAAGUUGGGGGUGAAAUCCCGGGGGCUCAACCCCGGAACUGCCUCCAAAACUAUUGGUCUAGAGUUCGAGAGAGGUGAGUGGAAUUCCAAGUGUAGAGGUGAAAUUCGUAGAUAUUUGGAGGAACACCAGUGGCGAAGGCGGCUCACUGGCUCGAUACUGACGCUGAGGUGCGAAAGUGUGGGGAGCAAAACAGGAUUAGAUACCCUGGUAGUCCACACCGUAAAACGAUGAAUGCCAGUCGUCGGGUAGCAUGCUAUUCGGUGACACACCUAACGGAUUAAGCAUUCCGCCUGGGGAGUACGGUCGCAAGAUUAAAA
rnacentral:rRNA from 1 species